UACGAAGGGGGCUAGCGUUGCUCGGAAUCACUGGGCGUAAAGGGUGCGUAGGCGGGUCUUUUAAGUCAGGGGUGAAAUCCUGGAGCUCAACUCCAGAACUGCCUUUGAUACUGAAGAUCUUGAGUUCGGGAGAGGUGAGUGGAACUGCGAGUGUAGAGGUGAAAUUCGUAGAUAUCGUAAGGAAGACCAGUGGCGAAGGCGGGUCUCUGGGCAUGUCCUGACGCUGAGGAGCGAAAGCGUGGGGAGCAAACAGG
rnacentral:rRNA from 1 species